UGUGUUUAUAAGGGAAGUGUCAAUUUAAAUGCCUUUGCUUUCAACUAAGUGUAAUCAGUAAAGAAAAACAUAUCUAUUAUCAGAUGUUCAUGGUUUAAGAAUACUGGCUAAUAAAAUACCCAAAACCUGUGGGUAGUUAACUAGGGACUCACAGUGAUUCCCUAGUAAGUAUAGGUCUAUUUCCUGCCCCACUAGGGACUCAACUGGAACUGGCCAACACAAUUCUUUUCCUUCUUCUUUCCUUUUACUUCCCUCAGUCCACAUAGAACCUUUGAAGGCUCUGCCCAAAGGAAUAUAAAUUUUGAUUGCUUAAACCUCCCAAGAGGUUUAUGGGAUUUAUGGACUAGAACCUGCAGUUUGAUCAACAAUAGGUCUCAGGCUAAACCCCACUUGGUCAUUGUUUAGGCCCUGAUUGGUUCAGAGUGAAUGUAAACAGCAAUUGCUUCUGUUAUGGCUAGAAACCCUGAGCGUCUUUCUCUUCCAAAUUGCUUUUGUUUUAUUUUAUUUUAUUUUGACUAGGUAAAAAAGUCCAUUCUUUCCCUCAUUUCUUUUUUAUCUAGCUACAAUCACUGAAUGGGCAGUUGCCUCAGUUAAAAUGAAACAAGUUAAAAGCUUUAGUUUAUAAAGGCUAAGUCCCAUUCCAUCCAAGGCCAUCUCUAGUCAUCCUGAUCUAUCUCUUGCCACUGGACCCAGAUAUCUCUGGAGGGGAAAGUGAAACUGGGGACCUUGUACAGGUUUUCCUCAUUAAAUCCAAUUCACUUGCAUGUAUCACUUCCCUGAUGUUAUGUCCUUUUUGAGAAGGAAAGACAAAUAACAAUAUCAAUUACACAAUAAAUAACCAUUCUUAGCCCUUUUAAAAUAAACUCGUUUAGUUCUUUGGUUUGUCAGGCUAACAUUUUGAGGAAGACUGACAAGAAGAAAAGUGAUGGUGCAAUGGCAGAGUAAUUGUUCUAUUAUAUUCCCCUAAAAAUGACAAUCUCUAGCCACUUACAGAAAUUUCAUUGAUUAAACUUCUCUAUAUGGGAGGAAUCAGCUUAGUUGUUACUCUUACCUUAUCUUCAAAUUCAGACAUCCUAGAGUCCAAGGGCAAAUUGAGUCCUGCCACAAUCCACUGGAAGUGCUGACUUAAUAAAGUGGGCCCAAACUCUAAAUUGAGUCCUCUUGUCUUUCACAGAUCAAUGCAGCAGUGUCCCACUGCUAACUUCCAGUUUAUCCUCUCCAAGCUAUGUCAAACAAUUGUCAAUAUUAUCUUCCUAAGACAGACUCUGUCAAUUUCUUGCUUGUAAAAACUUCAAGUUAGAUUCAAAAUAUGCAAUAGAACCUGGCUGAAGUUUUUUGUUUUUUUUUUUUUUUCCUCUCCAGGUUUUAUCUUCUUCUAAUUGGUGAUGUGUGGGACACUAUCUUGCACAAAAACAGAGACUCUCAGAGUAUGAAAAAGCAAAAAGGAAUUUAUUAUGAUCUCUUGAGAAUGGGCAUCUUCCAUCUGACAAGGUUCUAGACUAUGGAUGUGGCCACCCAUCUUUGUCUUCUUGGGUCUUAGAACUUGUUUAUUGUACAGAUAUGAAUUUGUCCCAGUAGUGAUGGACCCUAGGGACAUUGUCAUGAAGUUAACUCCAAAAACUAGGUGCCCCAAAUAAAAAAAAAAUCCACUAGAACUGUGGAGACCAGAUGAGGAAACUGAGACAAACAAGGUUAAGUGACUUGCCCACUAUCACAUAAGUAGUAAGUAUCUGAGGCUGGAUUUGAAUUCGCAAAGAUGAGUCUUCCUGACUCUAGACCAGGUGCUCUAUCCAUUAUACUACCUAGCUGCCCCUAAAAAAAAAAAAAAAAAAGUGAAGCCAGCUUCUAAUUUCUUUUACUCUUCCCUUUUUAUCUUUGCCUCUUGAAGUUUUCUACUAGUUUAUAAUUAAGUUUAAAGUUUUAAAUAUUUAAGAAAAAAAUGGAACAAAGGAUUCUGCAAACUUAUUCCUCAAAUAUAACACUCCAUUAUUAUAUUAGACUCCUGGCAUUUACACUGGCUCUCCCCCAAGCCUGGAAUAUUCACUGCCUUCAUCUUUACCUCUUGGCUUCCCAGCUAAAGUUACACUUUCUACAAAGGAUCUUUCCCAGUUCUCCUUACAUCUUAGUGCCUCCCCUCUGAAAUUACUUCAGUUUCUUUACAUGUUAUUUCCCCAAUUAGGCUAAAAGGAGAUAUUGCUUGAUUUUUGUCUUUCUUUUUAUACCCAGCACUGUGCUAUAGUAUCUGGCAUGUAGCAGACCUUAACAAAAGCCAGUGACAGACUGAUUUUUAAAUUGAAUUUUAUUUUGU